GACGAACCUUGCUAACGUUAUUCGGAAUUACUGGGCUUAAAGGGUGCGUAGGCGGCGCAGCAAGUUGGGUGUGAAAUCCCGGAGCUCAACUCCGGAACUGCACUUGAUACUGCCUCGCUAGAGUACUGGAGAGGAGACUGGAAUUUACGGUGUAGCAGUGAAAUGCGUAGAUAUCGUAAGGAAGACCAGUGGCGAAGGCGAGUCUCUGGACAGUUACUGACGCUGAGGCACGAAGGCCAGGGGAGCAAACGGG
rnacentral:rRNA from 1 species